GUGACAUUUCAGAAUUUCUGGAAGUUUUGACAUUCCAGAAACUUUCUCCUAAGGCAGUCCCUGGGAGUCAC
rnacentral:miRNA from 1 species